GUGAAGCUGGUCAUGAAAAGAACUUUCUUGGUCGUGUUAGAAUCUCUGGUGUGUCUGUCCCUUUAUCUGAGUCUGAGGCUAGUGUCCAGCGAUGCCCACUUGAGAAGCGUGGCCUUUUUUCAAAUAUUAAAGGUGAUAUAGCUCUCAAGAUUUAUGCAGUACACGAUGGUAAUUACUAUCCACCUGCUCCUCAACAGCCAAAUGCUGCCAGUAUUGAGACUGAAGCCACCCCUCUCCAAGAAUACAAUACCCC
rnacentral:misc_RNA from 1 species